GAAACUUAGGACUUUUGGGUUAGAGUGUGGUGCUGAGAACGCCAAGGUCUCAGGUUCGAUCCCCGUAGGGGACA